rnacentral:lncRNA from 1 species
UACACUCGACAUACAUACAUACUAUCGAAAGCAUAGAGAAUCUGGUGCUUCCGACUUUUUGGCCAUCAAUAAUUUUUAAUGGUUGAUGUAUAUCGUUUGCAAGUUUAACGGUGUAGAAAUAUUCAAAUUAAAUAAAAUUUUGAUAGAAAUUUUUUUUAUACUAUUUGUUGCAAGAUUAAUAUCUCUGAUCGAAAAUUUUAGUGUUAUAUUAGCAUUUUUUAUGAGAUUUUUAUUUUCAGCCGUUGAUUUUGAACCAUUUCGAUCGCUAGGUAAAAGAUAUCGAAAAAUUAUAAAAUUUAUUUUCUAGAUAUUUCAAAUAAACUGGAUCAAGUUUAACGAAACCGAUCGUCGAUUCGAAAACUCUAUCAUCAUAAACGGCUUAGGAGUACAGAGAUCUCCAUGCUCCUAAAUAGCACACAAGACCUACUAUAUAUAU